GAUGAACGCUGGCGGCGUGCCUAAUACAUGCAAGUCGAGCGAACGGACGAGAAGCUUGCUUCUCUGAUGUUAGCGGCGGACGGGUGAGUAACACGUGGAUAACCUACCUAUAAGACUGGGAUAACUUCGGGAAACCGGAGCUAAUACCGGAUAAUAUUUUGAACCGCAUGGUUCAAAAGUGAAAAACGUCCUUGCUGUCCCUUUUAAAUGGUCCCGGGCUGCAUUAGCUAGUUGGUAAGGUAACGGCUUACCAAGGCAACGAUGCAUAGCCGACCUGAGAGGGUGAUCGGCCACACUGGAACUGAGACACGGUCCAGACUCCUACGGGAGGCAGCAGUAGGGAAUCUUCCGCAAUGGGCGAAAGCCUGACGGAGCAACGCCGCGUGAGUGAUGAAGGUCUUCGGAUCGUAAAACUCUGUUAUUAGGGAAGAACAUAUGUGUAAGUAACUGUGCACAUCUUGACGGUACCUAAUCAGAAAGCCACGGCUAACUACGUG
rnacentral:rRNA from 1 species